CUAGGAAUUUUCCGCAAUGGGCGAAAGCCUGACGGAGCGACGCCGCGUGGGGGAAGAAGGUCCUUCGGGAUUGUAAACCUCUUUUCUGUGGGAGGAGAUAGGACUGUACCACAGGAAUAAGCCCCGGCAAACUACGUGCCAGCAGCCGCGGUAAUACGUAGGGGGCUAGCGUUGUUCGGAAUUACUGGGUCUAAAGGGUGCGUAGGCGGGCUAUCAAGCAAGGGGUGAAAGUCCACAGCUUAACUGUGGGAUUGCCUUUUGGACUGAUAGUCUGGAGUGCAGGAGGGGAGAGCAGAAUUCCCGGUGUAGGGGUAAAAUCUAUAGAUAUCGGGAAGAAUACCGGUCGCGAAGGCGGCUCUCUGGACUGUAACUGACGCUGAGGCACGAAAGCGUGGGGAGCGAACCGGAUUAGAUACCCGGGUAGUCCACGCUGUAAACGUUGCACACUUGAUGGUUGGGGCGUUAGCCCUGGCUGUCGGAGCGAAGGUAUUAAGUGUGCCACCUGGGGAGUAUGGUCGCAAGGCUG
rnacentral:rRNA from 1 species